UCGCGGCUUAUCACCGGCAGUCCCCCUAGAGUGCCCAACUUAAUGAUGGCAACUAAGGGCGAGGGUUGCGCUCGUUGCGGGACUUAACCCAACAUCUCACGACACGAGCUGACGACAGCCAUGCAUCACCUGCACUAGCUCCCCGAAGGGUCCCUCACCUUUCGGAUCGGUACCACUAGCAUGUCAAGCCUUGGUAAGGUUCUUCGCGUUGCGUCGAAUUAAACCACAUGCUCCGCUGCUUGUGCGGGUCCCCGUCAAUUCCCUUGAGUUUUAGCCUUGCGGCCGUACUCCCCAGGCGGGGCACUUAAUGCGUUAGCUGCGGCACCCAGGGGGUCAAUACCCCGGACACCUAGUGCCCAUCGUUUACAGCGUGGACUAC
rnacentral:misc_RNA from 1 species